rnacentral:lncRNA from 1 species
GUGGUUCAGUGGCUGGGAAGGUGACAUAAAAGCUUGAGUCCCCUUCAGCUGUAGUGUUCGACUCCUAGCUCCUACAAUUUCCUUUUGCUGGUGGACAAUUGCAAGAGCUUGAGUACUGCUGUUAAGUGGCGCGAGAUCUUCCUAAGAGAUGGGCCGAAAAUGGAUGGACUGAUUUAGUGGGCCCAUACUAUAGUCUGGAUUGCAGACAAAGUUGUUGAUCCAAAGAGGGAGCAUAUCAUCCAAAGAAACUCACACGCGAACUUGGAAGGUCAACUGCAGUGGGCUGGUGCAAGCAAGAGAUGGACCGGACUUGGAUUAGAUGGGCCGCGCAGCUCAAGUGGAGCAGAGUAACAAAACCCCCGUUUACAUGUACUGCGCUUGUAUUUGUUUCUAAAAAAAAUUUCUUU